UCUUGGCAGUGAAGAUGUCAAUUCCAACAAAGUGACACUUAGCAUGGCCGUGCUUUCCUGUCUUAGAAGUUGAAACCUCAACCACCUGCAUUACCAUACAACCCAAAGAAAAGUAACAUAAAUUAGUGGGAUUAGGUAUGCAGAAAUGCCUUCUAGAGAGUACACUUUCAAAUUAAGGAAGAUCAAGUGCUUAUCCACUUCAAUGCCUAAAGUUAUAAUUUAGUAGUAUUAAUCAAUUUGUCCUUUUGGACCCUCGUUAUACUUUUUCAAUAAUUAAUGUCAAGUAGCAAUAACAGUCUCAAACAAACAUAAACUCACCCCCGUGUGGCUGGUGACAAAGAAAUACCCAAAAAGGAAAAAACACGACACUAUGGAAAUCAUCUUCUCCAGAUAAAAUCAAUAUUAAACUAAAACUACACUGUAAACAACUAUAAACACCAGCAUCCUCAUAGGAAGGAUUAGAGGAUAAUAUAACACACUGUUUAUCGUUGACCAAACGAAACUCAGCCAUCAAGAGAUCUUUCGAAGUCAUAAUUACAAAAUCCCCAAACUCCAAACAAACAUUGAUCCGAAUAAUCGUCAAUGUCAAUUUCAACAUCAGAUCCAUCAAUUUCCCCAAAUCCAAGACUCAAAAAUCAUAAGAAAUAAAAAACUUACAGUAUAAGAAUCAUUAAUCCAGAAAAAGAAAACCCUCGAAUAUCAAUCAAAGAUCUAAAUCGCUCGAUCCAAAACUCAACCCUAAACAACAUAAAUCAAACCACACAAUAAAACAAACACAACCGAUGAGAAAAAAAAAUCAAAUCAUCGCAAUAAACACAAACAAAUCACCUUGCAUGGACGGUUCUUGAUGACGAUGUAGCCGUUCUUCCGGAUAGCUCCGGCCUGUUGUGGGUAAGUCUUGGAGGCUCCGGCGUCGGCCUUGGAUUCAAAGUGAUGCUCCUCGUCCGACAUGACUAAAGAUUGAUUUCGUUCUUCUACAGCCUCCGGUGGGCUUCUUCUUCUGUGUUCACAGUGGGAUUUCGGUGGAAGCGGAAGGAAAACGGGAGGAAGGAGGAGAGUACGAGUCAAGAGGACGAGACCAAUUUAUAGCAUCACGUUUCAACCGGCCACGUAUCGUAUCAAUUAGGGUUUCUGAUGCGAGCCCCUAAACUAUGUUGAUAUUCUUUUUUUUCCCACAUUUCGGUGCCAAAACGAUCUCCACCGUUGCUUCAUUUGUUUAAUCUUUGGACGGUUUGAAUUUUUUAAAAAUAAUUUUUGGCAUAUUUUUAUUUAGAUUUUCUUAAUCUGUGAAAUUACAUAUCACUUUUUUUCUUCUUCUUAUUAUCAUUAGUUAUAUUUGAUUUUUUAAAUGUCACAUUACCUAUCAUUUUCCUUGCAAAUUUGGAAAUUUUAUAGUAUCUAAAGUAUACUUUAACCAACGUUUUGUUAAACAUUUCUAACCGUUGGAUUGUCUUACAAAGUCAAUAUUCUUUUCUUUUUCUUCUUUUGUGCUUUCAAGUUUCCAUCCUAUAAUAAUAUAAUAUUUUUAAAUAUCGUAAAUAGUUUAUCAAUUUUUUCUAUUUUGAAAACAUACAUUUCAUUAGUUCUAGAGUAAUUAUAAUUGAUGACGUUUUUAUGAAUAAUAAUUAAAAAUAUAACAAUAUUUUUUAAAAAAAUCAAAACAAAUCUAUCAUUGAUAUGUAUCGAUGAUAGAUUUGUAUGAUCUAUCAAUGAUAGACCAAUAUUUACAAACAUCAAACAUGAUUUAUGGGUAAUAGUUUUGAUUAGUGACCAAUAGUCUUCUAUCAUUGAUAGAAUUUGACAAAUUUUGCUAUAUUUGUAAUUUUUUUAAAAUGUUACUCUAUAUUUAAUUAUUUUGCACCUAAUGACUAAAUUUGCAAUUAUUCCUUGGUUUUAAGUAUUUUUUUGGAUCGUACAACAUUUGGGUGUCACAUAAAUUUAUAAGAUAAUACUCACAAGUUAUUAAAUCAAAUAUUCUAAUUUUAAAGAUAUUAAUAAAAUUUAUACAUCCAAAUUGCUAAGUUUGUCAAACUAUGUGAUAGUUAUGUGAUGUCGUAAAAAAAAUAGACUUUUAUUAUGUUGCGUGGUAGAUUAUAACGCUUUUUUUAUCACGAUUACAUGAUAAAAUAUAUUUAAUUUAUGAAUUACAAAUAUAACCAAAUUAUAAAUUUAUCGUUAACAUAAUAUGUAUAUAGAAGUUUAUCACCAAUCUCAAUCAAUUAGAGUAAAUUACGGGUGGAUACUUUUUAUAUUCGUAAAUAAACCGUUGCUUAAUUACGAGUUAUAAACAUGCAAUCUAUUGUACUUACUCCAACGAAUGAUACUCGAAAAUAUCAUGUAUUAUAAUUAGAUCUUUGAACAUAAAUUCUUAUUUCCCUUGGACCAAAAUAUUUUUUAAUUAUUGUUACCAGCAUUAUUUCAUUUAGGGCUUGACGAUCUUAUCUUUCUAUGGAUGAAAUAUACCAAACUAUUGUCUUUUUAGCCAUCAAGAACAUCGCUCUCACAAAAAGAAGGUAUUUUGUAAGACUCUGAACUCUUAUCUCUAAUCAAUGAAUAGAAUUAUAAUUGUAUUUUUUUAAGGAUAUGAUACUUUAAUUUUAAUAUAUGCUUUUUUAUAUUGUAUUUGUAACAAUAUACUAUAUAUAGAGAGAUAGAAGUUUAAUUUGUGGACGUCAACCUCAGAUUCAAGUCAUGCCAUUAACAAAAAGAAAACAUAACCAAAUGGGACUACCGACAUUUUCUUAACAAUAUUCGGAAUAAAUUGACAAAAUCGAUAUUUAUUUUUUUAGGAAUAUUUAGUUAUUUUAGAAUUUUAGUGAAUUAUUUUUAAAUGUCAACUGCAAAUAUCAAGUAUUAAGAUCACAAGAGACGAAGCAAAUAUUAAGUAUUAAGAUCACAAGAGACGAAGAUACAUUACUAUUUGCACUAUAUACACAUAUAAUAGUAUGAUACAUCUCAUUGUAGAUAGGUUAUGAUAUCCAUCAAUAUAAAUUUGUUAAUAUAUUAACAAAUAAACGUGAUAUUAUUAAAGUGAAAACGUAAUUAUAUAAGUUGAGAGUGGAAGAAUUUGAAUUUUGUAACAAGUAUAUCUCGGUUGGCCUAAGUUUUUAUUGGUUAUAGGGUUGGCUUACAUUGGAAAAAAAGUUCCAAAGAAUUCAAAGUUUUGGGGAAUUUAGGGAAUAUUUAAGAAGAGAAUUUGGAAUGGGACACUUCUAAAUAAAGAUAAGAAGGAAUCUGAUUGCAUAGUGAGUUGAUAUAUGGAAUUGACCAUUCUUUCAGUCUCUUCGGCUUUGGUGCGCAUCUUCUCAAAAUAAAGUGAACCAUACGGCUACCUUUCGGCAUGUUUUAAUAUCCUUUUCAUCAUGAUUGGAACCUCACCUUUCUUAUUAAAUGAACACAAUUCAAAGGUGCAUGAAUGUCACAAUUCAGUACUAACUUAUUCCAAUUUCCAUCUUGAGUUUCAAUUUAUUUUGUUUGAAUCCUCAUUUCUCCCUAAAUGUAUAAUCCAUGUUUGAUGUUCCACUUAUCUCAACAAGGCAGAAAUUUAUAUGCCAUUUUGAAUAUAGUUUUUAUUUUCUCAUAUGACUUAUUAUUUCCAAAAACUGUUUAUUUUUAUAAAAAUUAUAAUUUAAAAUUAUUCUCAAAUAUAUCUAAAUAUUUACAAAAUAUUAUAGUCUAUUUAUGAUAGACCGUCAUGAGUUAAUAUAGACUACUAUACUCGUCUAUAUGUGUCAUGAUUUAUUACAUAUAAAUUGUGAUAUUUUAAGUUAAAAUAUAUUUUUUUUAAAUUUGUAUUAUUGAUAUCGAUAUCCAACGUUCAUUCCUCCAUUUCGCAUAUUGUCAAAAGAAAUUAAAUAAGAGAAGUAUAUGUGGAAUAAUCUUUAUAAUUUUGUGUUCAAUAAUUCACUUCAAUAACAAACACUAUUGAAGUUUUCCCGUUUAUUGAAGAGUUUUACCUUUCGUUUUCUAUAUUUUGUACUUUUAUAGAACUUUAUAUUAAACUCUACAUCAAACAUAACACUUUCUAACUCCAACCUGGAUGCUCUAAACACCCACUGAAUUUACUAUAAUUAAUCACAACUUAAGCUUUGAGAUUCUUGGAUGAUUUACUGUGGUAUUAGAGGAAAAUUUUACUAUAAUGUUUCAGUAUUGGUAUAAUUGAAUUUAGAAAGAAAAAUCAAUUCAAUGCUAUAUAUCAUCUCAUUCUAAAGAACCUGGACACCAAGAUUGUGACAUACUAAUUUCUAAAUUACUUCAAAACAUGUCUUUAACCAUUCUAAAUCAAUUUUGUUGAUAUGAAAUUUGUAUUUACAAGAGUAGAAGUAAAUAUUAAACAGGUUUUCGAAGUGAUUUUAAACAUGACAAAAUUAUUAGAAAUCACUCCAAAACAUGCGCUAAAUAUGAAAUUCUCAAUUUAAAAACAUAGUGAUGUUUGGCUGUAUCGAAAGCUUCAGUCAUCGUUUCAAUAACAUUAAUCUCUCUGAACUCUGAGGAGGUUUUGUAAAUUGUAGAACGAUGCUUACCCAAGUAGUUGAAGCUGGUCAUAUUGAGAAGCAAGUCUAAGUCGUGAAUGAGAUGGAAUAUGCUUAGAAAUAACUUUUGCAGUUUCUUUCCACCAAGAAACUUCAGAUUCUUUAUCAAUAAUCUCUUGUUUGGCACAUUCUAGAGCCUCUUUGAGUUCUUUUAUCUGCUCUUGCUGCCUUGCUUCUAGCAGUUCAUGCAACUUUCUUUCGAGUUCUACAGGCGGAACUCCUUCUUGCCUCUCAGUCCCAUCUUCUUGGAGAUCAGUGACUUCACCAGAACUCAUACAGCAGCUUCUUGUCGAGUUUGUGUUCUUCGCAGUCUGUCAUUUCACACAACACAGUUUCAGAACUUGCAAUCAAGAAUUGAAUAUGCAGCAUACAUCAUUAAAAUUACAGAUAAUAUGUCAGAAAUAUACAUCUUCAUCCCCUCAAAUAUGAUAAAUCAUUUUGAAUUAUAUUACUACAUGAUGUUAAAAAUUUUAAGUAGGAUGAGUGCUCAUGAACUACCAUAGAUUGAAGACACAUCUUAUCACAUAGAUAUUUCUUCUUUGCUCCUCAAAUCAUAUUACCUACAUCCUUCUAAGAACUUGAGCAGUACCACUGAAGUUAUAUGGCAAAAAGUCCAAAACCAAGUAUUACGGCAUCCCAGAUAACCAGUGUUGGCCAAAAUCAUCAAAAUGGUUAUAAGGAUGAGAUAAAACCAAGGCAUAAGAAAAUAAUUAAUGAUAUUGGGUAAAAACAAUGAUCCGAUCCAAGAUUAAUGAACGACACCAUCUUGAAGGUCGUAUGGAGAAUCCCACAUCUGAAAAUCAAAGGACCUCAAACUACUUGUAAGGCCGAUGGAUUACCCCUUUCAUUAUCUAAUAAUGAUAUAUGUUGGUCAAGAUCUCCAAAAUAGUCCUAAACAAUGAGAUCAAACCAAAGGAUGUGAAAAUCAAUUUUAUGUAGACUGCAAAAACUUUAAGAGAGCAAUUAUGAACCAACCGGUCCCAUCAAAUCAAUUUGGAUAGAAAAAGCUAUCUCGUUCAAUACCUUAAUUCUUAGAUGUUCUAUGCGUCCAGAAGAACUUUCAACUUCCAAGUGAAGCUGUAAACGUUCUAACUCGGCCUCGAAUUCAGAUUCCAAUUCGUCGAUUCGUUCCUGACAUUCCCCAGCUUGUUCAUACAAACAAGACAUCCGGGAAUGAUUUGGUAUAGUUGAUUGUGCAUCAGACACAAUUUGAGAUGAAAAAUCUUGCUGAUAUGAAAGCUGGCUGGUAGAACAAGGACCGUCUUGACAAUCCGUAGACGAACAAGCCACAUCUGCAUUUGAAUGGAAUGGCUCAAAGUGAUUGUCUUUUCUUCCAAGAUCCUCUUUGAUCUCUUGAAGAAAAUGUUCCAUUUCUCUCCUCAAAUCUACCAUCUUCGAAAGUUCAUUUUUACUUGCAAGUACAAGAGACAACAAACUACACCCAACUCCCAAGUUGAAUGAUGUGUCUUCUUUCCUACUCAGUCCUGUGAGUUUUAAGCACACAAGCAAAUUGAAACAAUAAGAGAAAACAAGGACAGCAUAGAGAUAUAGAAAACUCAAUCCAUUAGACUCUCCCAAUCUUGAAAUGGUUAUAAUUACUUUUGUUAUUUACAAAGUUCUUCAAAAACAAUUUCAAGUCUAAUUAUACCCUUUGAGAUGGAAUUUUCAUACCAUUUGAUUUGAUUUUGAGUUAUUAAAAACAUGUUUAGCCAUCAUCAACCCAUAAAAAGAAAGAUCAAAGGAAGUUUAGUACGUUGCCAAUAUAACUUCGAUCAAAUUUUUGUUAUCAUAUGAAAAGUCGGCAUACGAAUUUCCAGAUUCAGAUGUAGGCAUGCAUAAUCCAUUCGGCAUUAGAAAAUUACCAUCUCUUCCGUUUCCUAAUCGUUUUGAUUAACAUUGAUAAAUACACUAGCAUUAUCAAUUCGAAAGCCAUCCUACCAAUUAAAAUCGCAAGCACAAAUCAAUUCGAUCAGUAUACUCACUCACCUGGCCCUACAAUCACUCCCGGUGAAGCUGAGGAAGCACCACCGUCCACUCCAUCCCUCGAGCACCUACAACACGUCAACGGACCAUCAGAAUCUCCACCCUCUUUCACUCUCCUAACCUCCUCAAGCGCUCUCCUCCGCUUCGGUCGCCGGAACGAAGCCACCCACCGAGCAACAAUCCGCCGAGGCGACAAACAGUCAAUGCUCACAGACUCAUCCGACAAGCCACGCACUCGGGACAUACCCAAAUCCCCAGAAAACCCGUCACCGCCCUCGUUUUCUUCCCGGAAAAUAUCAACCAAACGGAAACGACGGCCGGUGGAGUUGCAGGAAUCAGAAACUUCAUGGGAUUUAAAGAGUGGUUUCAUAAGAGAACGUGAUUAAUUCGAAAGAGUAACGGGGCAGAGAGGAAAUUAAAUUCAAAUUAGGAAGUGGACAGAGAAGAAAGUGAAAGGUAUUACGAAUUGAAGAGAGGAAUAUUAAUGGCGUGUAGGAUUAGUUCAGCAAAUUCACGAGAUUUCUCCAUGUUUGAUUAAGAACUUCAAUAACUUCGUCAGUGGUUGAUAAUGGAGAAUUGGCGCUCAAUUAUUUGGUGGUAUUUAUGAAUUUUCAAAAUGAUGUCGAUGACUGAUAAUGAAUUUGGAUUGAACUCAAUAAUUUUUGUGUUCUCUAAUAAUUAUUGCAUUUUGAAUUCCCACCAUUUCAAAUUUCUUUCAAUUAAUGUUUGUUUACUUAAUUUACUAUUAUUAUUUCAUUACUUAAUAUGUCAUUUCGUAUAUUUCCUUUAUCUCGUUUUCCAUACAAAUUAUAUAAUAUUCCAAAAUAUCCGAAAAAAUAUCGAAAAUGGUAAAAUGUUAAAAAAAUAUUAUUUUAGAUUUUACGUUCAAUAAUAUUUUAAAAUGUUUAUAACUUAAAUAUAUAUAAAUUUUAACGAGUUUUAAAUGUUGUAUAUUGAAAUAACAUUUAAAAUAGAGACUUUUUUAAAUUGGCAAAAUAAAUUAAAAUAUUUACGGUUUAUAGCAAAAUAUUUUAGAUUCUAUCAAUAAUAAUAUUUCAUCACUAUAACGUAUCAAUAUUAAUAGUAUUUCAUCAAUGUAGCAUAUCAAUAACUAUAACGGAUAGAAUUUGAGUAGAUUGUAAAUAUUUUGUAAAAUUUGAUAUUUUUAAAAUUUCUUCUUAAAAAUAUGAAUACUCAUCAAAAUUCAUCGAAUUCUUUAUCGUGUCAAAAUAGUUUUAAUUUUAUGUUAUUCAUCAAAAUAUAUCAAAAAGUUAUCAAACAAACUCUCCACUUUAAAUACAAUCUUAUUAACUUUGGCGUAUUAACUUCACUUAUUGGUUAAGCAUACCUAAUUGAAAUAUUAGUUAUGCGACAAAUAUGAAAUCAUUGAACUUGACUUUAAAAUAAAAUAAUAAAAUAUUAACUAUUAAUAAAUCAGGCCUGUCUUUAGCUUCUACAAUUUAGUUAAAUCUUAUCGAACAGCCCUUGUUGUUAGUUCACAUGUUAUGUGUUGUAAUUUUAGUUGUGUUCAAGUUCAAACUUUAACAAAAACAUAAAUAUUAAAGCGAGUUUAACCAAGUGAUAUUGGUAUAAUACCAGUCCUCUUAAGUGAAUGGUUGAGUCUUCUAUCUCCGGUUGUUACACCAAACAAAAAGUAUAAAGUAUAUGAAAAACAUGUAAAAUUUGUUGGUUAAAUGUAAUUUACGAAUGAUUUGUAAUGUUUAACCGAGCAAAUUGCUUCUCUUAUUUUCUUAAUUGAAUAUUAUAUUGUAAGUUUACCAUUUAUUCAGAAAACCCUUUUAAUUUAGGAAAAUAAUAAUAAAGAAUAAUAUAAUAUUUCUCAAGAAGAAAAAAAAAACGAAGAAUAAUAAAUGCACAAAUAAUACAAGAAAUAAAAAUGGCCACAAUUAAAUGGUUUGAUCAAUACCCAUUAAUCAAUUUCUAACUGAAUGACGUUUCCUCUGACGUGGCACACAUCUGACGGAUGAAAAAUUUAAGGUGACAAACAUCUAAUGGAUGAGGUAAGCUCAUGUUGGCGAUGUGACAUUAUUUUGGUUGAUGUGUUUUUUUUUUUCAUUUGGCAUUACUCCCUAACGUAAGGUAACGUCGUAUAAUACACAUAGACAUCCGUUAGCAAUUUUAAUUAUGUAAAAUAAAGAUUAUCUAAGUUUAGCUAAAUCUUGGCAUAAUAAUGUUGAAGUUUUGUAUUUAUCAAAUUUGAAUGAAAUCAUUGUAUAAAAUAAAUGGAAAGAUAAUUUAUUUGAAUAUAUUUGUUAACUACUUUUUUAGAAAAAUCAUAACGUAUUUUGUUACAUUUUUGUUUGUUAAUAUAUUUGUUAACUUCUUUGUAAUGUAGCAUAGUUUUAUCUCUUUUUUUGUUAUUUAAUUUAAGAAAUGUAAAUUUAGUGUAGUUGUUUAAUAUUUAUGAGGUAUAUUUUUUUUUCCUUUUAUAUACACGUAUAAAUUUAAAGUUUUACAUUGUUGUCAAAACAAGUACAAAUCAACUGACAUUAAGCAUAUACUCAAGAGUCGAAUUUUAUAUUACAAUUUGUUCAAAAAAAAAGUUUUAUACUAUGCUUAUGAGUUUAUAUUAAAAUAGAGAUUUGUAUUUAAAUAGUAUAAUCACAACGACAAUAUUAUGUUGAACGACUCAAAUUUUAAAAAAUAUUUGAAAACCAACAUUUUGGCUUAAGUCGCAUUGAGCUUUACCACAUUUGAAUACAUCAUCUUGUUAGAAAAAUGAACGUCACAUCCAUCGCAAAAAGGCUUUUUUUAAAGGGAAAUUGCAUCAUAUGGAAAAGAAAAAAAAAGUAGUCAAUAACUUUUUUUUUUUUUUUGUCUAUUGCAUAUAUGAUAAAUAUGACAAGUAAUUAGAUAUAUUAGAUGACUAUCAGAAAUCUAUCGAUUUUUAAAUUUACUAAUUUUUGCAAUUCAGAAAAUGUAGUGACACCAGUUAUAUUCUCAUGAAACUUUUUACUAUUUUUGUAAACGUCUUAUUUUUUAAUAUAUGUUUAUUUCAAUUGUUUUUUAUAACUGUUGUUUACUUCUUUUAAAGUUGCCUAAGAAUACAACUUUUUUUAUUUAUCCAACUAAAUCAGAAAUUGAGAGAAAACAAGCUUAAAUUUCAAAACAAAUAAAUGAAAUGCUUACUAAAACGACCUUUUGUUUUAUUUGUUCGUUUUACAUUAUUGAAUAGAAAAGUUCGAAUUCUUGGAUAAAUUUAGAAAACAUUUGUUUAAAAACUUGUUGUCUCCCUCUUUUUUUAUUUUCAAAAUUUGGUUUGUUAGGUUAAAAAACAUAAGAAACUGCAUUAGGUGAUAAAUUAGUUUAGCGAUUUUGCAAAAAUAUCUUUAAAAUUUGUGAUUUUACAAAUAUAACAAAACUAACGAAAUUCAUAGUGUGGGUUGAACUUCUUUUUUUACAAAUAAUAAAGAUACGUGCUAAAUACUUAAUUACCAUAACUUGUUUGACCAUUUUUAUAAGUGCCUCUUCACGUAUUCUUUAAAAUAUAUAACAAAGUAAAGAAUAUUAAAAUUGAAAGAGACAUUUUAAGUUUUGUUUAUAAAUUCCAAAUACUACCUAAAAGUUGUAAGUAAAUUAGAGUAUCCCAUUAUUUCUAUUUUAUUAUUUUCCUUUUCACUCUUAAAGAUUUUGAUUUCAAUUUUAAUAUAAACAUGCAUCACAACAAAGUAUGAGUUUUUUCUCGAUAGAAAAGUAAAUCAAAAUACUUAUAAAUAUAACAAGAUUAUAUCAGUUUAUUUAUAAAAAUAUUUGUAAAUAUUUUCAUCAUUCGAUUGAUUUAAAACAAAUGUUCAUCAAAUAUAUGAUCAAAAAAUGAAAAUAACAUAUAUAUACACAUAAUUUAAAGAAGAAUUUUAAACAAUAAUAAAUUUAACAAAAUAUUUACAAUCUACACUGAAUUCUUUGACAUAUUCAUAUGUUAGCAGUAAAAGACUAUUUCAUUACAAGAAUAUAAAAUUUUAGUGUAACUUGUAAAUAUUUUAAUUUAUUUUGAUAUUUUAAAAAAUAGUGGUUAUUUAAAAAGAAAGAACUAAAUGUUACAAAACGGCCCACAUAAGCCCAAAUUUAAAAGUUGAUUGAGAUAAUUUAAAGCUUUAUUAAAUACACAACAUAUUAAUGUGCAUGAAGAUUGAGGAGCGCACGUGUCAAAAGCCGAACAAGUACAGAUCUCAUCUAACUUACAUCAUUUUGUUUUAAUAUUUCACGCAAAGAACAAAAGAAAAGUUUUUUUCUUUUUUAUUUAUUUUAAAUUUAAAUGUUGAGGCCAAAACAAUUAAAAAAAGUAAAAUUAUCAAAAGGUUUUCAAUUGACUUUAGCGUUUGUAUAAUUAGUUUUGUCUUAAAUUUAGUUUGGUAGAAUUUUCAUUACUUUUUAUUAGCAUUUUUGUUAUAAAUUUUAAAAAUAUAUUAUAAUUAUCUUAAUAAAAUAUUUUUUAAAAAUAAUUAGAAUAUUUACCAAACUAUAACAAAAUUUAAUUUUGAAUUAUAUAAUUUAGAGAAGGUAUCAGUUUAAAAUCAAUCUCUCUUAUAUUUGGUUAAAUUUAUUAUUUUUGACAAAAUUUUAUUUUAAUAAAAACCAACGUUUAUAAAUAGGAUAUUUUAUUAUUUAAAAAAUAUAAAGAUGAAAAUGGAAGAAAUUUGAUAGAAAAGAAAUUAAAAAAAAGAAAAAGAAAAAUGUCAUCGUCAUUAAGAAUUAAGAUUGAUUUACUAUGGGAAGAAAAGAGAAAAGAAAUAUUAAUUUAACGCAAAUCUUUCUGAAAAGAGAAAAGAAAAAAGAUUCAAGAGAGACGCAAAGAGGAGAUAGAUAAAGACAAAGCUCAGAUCCUCCAUUAACAACCGCCAUAUCCAAUUCUUCUUUGUUUACAGUAUUUUCUUUAUUUCUUCCUUAAUCAAAUUUCUUGGAAUAUUCCACCACUUUCUCUCUAAACCCCAAAACUCAUUUCCAUUUUUGUUCCCUUUUUCCCCCUCAUUUUCUUUUGGUUCUUUCGGACAUUGGAGCUUGAAUUGAUUGAAAGCUAAGUCAAUCAAUCCUUUUCUUCUUUUUCUUCUUUUUCUUCACCAUGAAACCUUAAGUGUAAACGUGACGGCAACAACGAAAGUGUUUCCUUCAAGGCCAAUCAAAAAUUUAUUUCCAUUUUUUGGUUCCGGAAUUUACACUCUCUGCCAUACACAAUCAUGGCCUUCUGCAAUUGAUCGUUCGUCUUCGGGAAUUUGGUGAUCCGCGUGGGUGAAAUUACCUGCAAUGUGUUUUCGUAAUGCGGCUUCUAAUUGGGGAUUUGAUUCUUAACAACUUCGUUUUCUGUUUAUUUGGAUCUCAACCCCAAUUUCUCAAUGGCCUUAUUUCGCAAAUUCUUUUAUCGGAAGCCACCCGACGGGCUUUUAGAGAUAUCCGAAAGGGUUUAUGGUAUGUCCUACUUAGGUUAACUGUUGAUUGAAGUUUGGUAUUUUUGGUUUGAAAGUAAAAUGGGAGUGUGGAUUUUACAAUGAUUGUUUGCUAAUCAUUCUUAAUUGUUGUUUUCCCAAUGUAUCUUGCAUGGUGAAGGGGUUAUUAGUUCUGGAAAUUGUUAUGGUUUUGGACUAAACGGAAUACCAAGUUACAUUAUGGUAUUUUAUAGGAAAAUUUGUUACUAAAAGUUACUCUAGCUGUUGUUUUUGUGGGCCUUUAUAAUCAUUGAGUUGUCCCUAUUUGGAAUUUAUAAGAUGAACCCCUUUGCUGUAAUUUCGUAGAACUUGCUGUUGUGGACUCUUUUGUUUCCUUUCAAAGCUAGACCUCAAGUUAUCUUCCUUCUUCCUUUAAAGUUACAGUCAUUAUCAUGCAUUAACUCUUUCAUUGUAUGUGCAUUCUUUUUCUUAACUUGGAUUGUGUAUGUUCAAGUUUUUCCCCUUAAAGAUACUGCAAAUUCAAACCUUAACUCCCCAAAACAUUCCGUGCGUUAAAUUGUGAGUAUUGAAUGAAUAUUUCAAGUUUUUAAAUCCUUUCCUCUCAAACUUGUGAAUGCACGUGUAGUUUUGCUUGAUUGUAGAUGAUUGGGAAGUAGGAUAAACCAGUGAAUGUAUGUGCAGUUUUCGACUGCUGCUUUACAACGGAGGUGUUGGAAGAAGACGAAUACAAGGUCUAUAUUGGAGGGAUUGUGGGGCAACUUCGUGAGAGUUUGACAGACGCCUCAUUCAUGGUGUUCAAUUUCCGAGAAGGGGAGCAUCAUAGCCUCAUUACUAAUAUAUUAUCUGUAUAUGAUAUGACUGUCAUGGACUAUCCUAGACAAUAUGAAGGCUGCCCUUUACUCACCAUGGAGAUGAUCCACCAUUUCUUGAGAUCCAGUGAAAGCUGGCUCUCACUUGGGCAACAGAAUGUACUUUUAAUGCACUGUGAAAGAGGGGGGUGGCCAGUCUUGGCUUUCAUGUUGGCCGCUCUUCUGAUUUACAGGAAGCAGUAUGCAGGGGAGCAGAAAACUUUGGAUAUGAUUUACAAGCAAGCACCUAGAGAACUUUUGCAGUUGAUGUCACCACUUAAUCCAUUGCCUUCACAGUUGAGGUAUCUUCAAUAUGUAUCAAGAAGAAAUGUGGGCUCUGAAUGGCCUCCUCUUGACAGAGCCCUUACACUAGACUGCAUAAUUAUUAGAUGUAUUCCUAAUAUGGAUGGGGAGGGUGGUUGCCGCCCAAUAUUUAGGAUAUAUGGACAGGAUCCGUUUAUGGCUGCUGAUCGAACUUCCAAAGUAUUGUUCUCAACCCCCAAAAAGAGUAAACUUGUUCGUCAGUAUAAGCAGGUGAUCGCGGUUUUCCCUUUUAAAUAGAGGAGUAUUGCCCAUUUUUUUAUUCUCUAUACUUAUUAAUUUUUCGUGUCUGUUGGGAGUUGUUUUGUUUUAUCUGUUCAUCCAGUCUUUUCGAUGCCAAGGCUUAUUAAUUUCUGCUGAUUGGUAUUGGUAUUUCUAUAAACUUCUCUUCUUUUUAGUUAUAUGUUGUUCAUCCAUAUGGGUUAGGUCGGAAAAUUUUGAACAAUGAUUUUCUGUUUUUAUGCCCUGUUCUCUCUCUCUUUUAAAAAACGUUUUAUAGUUUAAUGUAGCUGGGAUCAUAUAACUAGUCUUCAUUGAAGUAAAUGCCAACCGUGAAACUUAAAUGGUAAGAGAAGACAUAUAGGAUUUUACUUCCCAAGGAAUCAUUCCUGGUUUUGUCAUUGGAGGAAGCCUGCAAAAUUUUUGAUGUGUAUUGUUGCCAGCUUGUAGGAGCUGACUGUUUUUUUUUAAUUCUUUCACACUUUGUUACAGGUAGAUUGUGAACUAGUUAAAAUUGAUAUCCAUUGCCAUAUCCAAGGUGAUGUUGUUCUUGAAUGUAUAAGUUUGGACAAUGAUCUGGAAAGGGAGGAAAUGAUGUUCCGAGUUAUGUUUAACACAGCAUUUAUCAGGUCAAAUAUUUUGAUGCUUAACCGUGAUGACAUUGAUAUUUUAUGGCAUGCAAAGGAUCAAUUUCCAAAGGAUUUCAGAGCAGAGGUAUGUUCGCUUACUGUUUUCUUUUCAUCCCCCUUUUCUCCGUUUCAUUCUUUCUUAAAUUAUUCUAAUUUUUUAUUGUGUUUAUCUUCUCAAGAAUAAAUAAGUUACGUGUUUGGAUGAAGGUUCUUUUCUCAGAGAUGGAUUCUUCCGCUUCACUUAUUUCAAUUGAAUUGCCAAAUAUUGAAGAGAAAGAUGGCCUUCCAAUCGAAGCCUUUGCUCGAGUUCAAGAGAUCUUUAGCAAUGUGGACUGGCUAAGCCCAAAGGCAGAUGCAGCUCUUAACGUGCUUCAGAAAAUAACAGCUUCAAAUUUACUUCAAGAGAAGCUGCUUAGUUCUGGCUCUUUAGACAGAAGGCAAUUACUUGACUUAUCUCUUGAAAAACUAAUCUUGGAAUCAGAGACAUCUGAAGAAAAUAUUAGAAGUCCCCGAUUGAAGAUACAGACAAAGUCUAAGCUUUCUUCCGAAUUAUCUAAAGCUGCAAGUUCAGUGAUAUCAAAACUUGAACCCUCAGAAUUGCAGGUUGCUCUCCAACUACCACCUCAGUCUAAAAUAAUCACUCAACGAAUACCUCAACCGUCAUUGUCUACGCCAGUCUCCUUCCGUAGUUCUAUGCAAGGUUCACCUCGCCCUAUACUAAGAUAUCACAGUGCACCCUCAGCUCUUGGCAUUACAGCUUUACUACAUGAUCAUUCCGAUUUUAUUGGUAAAGAACUUAUACAUUCAGGGACAACAUCUUCACCAUCAUCUGCUCGGUUGAGUCCAACUGCUCUAGAUUCACCUAGAGAUAUUCAACGUAGUAACCUUCCUAUUUCUCCUCUCCCUCUAGUAUUAGACGCAAGAUCUUCAUUAGAAAAUUCUUUGACCACCGCAUCAACUACAACCAUUCCUGAUCCACUGCCCCUUCACCAACUUUCUUUGAAACCUAUUAAAUAUUUAGUUUCUCAACCGACUCAAACCACAUCACAAGUGAGAAGUCAAUUAUCACCAUCUUCAUUACAACCAACUUCUGCCUCUUAUAUUGGGGAAUCCCCACCCUCUCUCAAUGAUAGCGAAGCUUCAAUAUCAUCUUCCUCUCCUUUGUCAAGAUCAUCUCCAUCUUCUUGUACUAAAGAAUUAAUUUCCGUUUCCACUCCUCCUCCUCCUCCUCCCCUCCCCCAUUUUGAUUCACCUUCAGCUUUAGCAACAUCUCCACCUUCUAGUAGGACGAAUGGUUCGAUUUUCCCAUCCUCACCACAACCGCCUUCUACGACAAAACUGUUAUCUUCUAUCAAGAAAACAACUCAACCUGCUCCUCAAUUUUCUUCGUCUGAUGAUCAUCUAGUUUCUUCAGAGUCACCUAUAAAGAACUCGAAGAGUGUCUCUCCCCUCCCCCUCCCCCUCCUCCUCUCCUCCUCCUCCUCCUACUCCUACUCCUCCUCCUCCUCCUCCUCCUCCUCCUCCUCCAUGUUUUAGCCCUAACUUAGGCACUAGUGUUGUCUCGCCGACAUCAGUGCCUCCGCCCCAACCUCCACCUCCACCUCCUUCAUGGAAGGACUCUACGAACACAUUCAUGCAUGUCCCCCCAGCUCCACCUCCAGCCCCACCCUUGCCUCCAUCUUCUUUCAGUUCUACAUUUACUUGUGGUUCUAGUAUCACGCCUUUAGGGCCACCACCACCGCCACCACCUCCUUCAAGUCAUGCACCACAAGAUUUUGCCACAGUAGUUAGGACCUUGAUGAAUGCAUCUGGCCCUCCACCUCCCCCACCUCCCUCGUUACAUUCAUCUCUAGGUUCUAAUACUGUAUCUUCAGUGCCGCCCCCGCCACCCCCUCCUAGUCUUGCAGUAAAUGUUGCAACAACCGUUAACUUGACACAUGUCAGCCCCCCUCCUCCUCCUCCUCCACCAUUAGCAAAUUCUGGACCCACCUUAUGUCCAGGUGUUGCAACGUCAGCUCCGCCUGCUCCACCUCCUCCAGGUUUCUCAAUGGAAGGUUCUGCAACACAUGCUCCACCUGCACCCCCUCCUCCAGGUCUCAGCGGUAAUAAACUCUCAAAUGUCAAUGGUACUUCCUCACAGUCUCACGUUGGCGUUAAUAACAGCAACAUACCUUCUGUUCCUGGACCACCUUCCAGUGCUCUAUUCAAUGCAAAGGGACGUGGCCUUGGACGUAUGAACUCCAAAAACCAGUCUCAACCUAAAAGAUCCAAUCUAAAGCCUUAUCACUGGUUAAAAUUAACGAGGGCCAUGCAAGGAAGCUUAUGGGCAGAGACACAAAAGACCGAUGAAGCUUCCAAGUACGUGUCAUAUAUUUUAGUUCUCUUAUAUGUUAUAAAUUUCCUUCUGUUAAUUUAGUUAAUUUUUAUGUGAUAGAGCUCCGGAGUUUGACAUGUCAGAACUUGAAAGUCUUUUCUCUGCAGCUGCACCAAAUUCAGACUCUGGAGGUUCGGGAAAUUCAAAUCGCCGAGCCUCAGGGCCAAAAUCAGAUAAAGUUCAUUUGGUAAUCAAAGAAAUAAACUUAUUGUCACAUUUAUUUCUUUUGAAGAAUCGAGUCAGUUUUGACAUAAUUUUAGCCAUCUAAUAAGCUCAAUCCGAUUGACUGUGUUCUGUUAGUGAAAGAAAAUAGUAUUUCUUAAUUUGCGUACCACCCUACAUUUAAGUAUCAACUGAAGCAUAGCAUAGACUCUUCUCUAAGUUUAUACCAAUACAGUUACAUCUACCUGUGGUUGAGUUUCUCAUCAGCAUGGGACAAAUUUAAGUUGGCUAGUUCAUUUGUUGCAAACUCAAUUUAUGUUUCAUGUUUCUACUUGUUCUGGCAGAUUGAACUUCGCCGGGCCUAUAAUUGUGAAAUUAUGCUUUCUAAAGUUAAGAUUCCUUUGCCUGACAUGAUGGUGAGUGAUGAUUUGCCUUUUCUUUGAAGCCAAACCGAUUGUUUCGAACAAUUAUGAACCGGAUACUAAACAUCUUGAUCAGUUCGUUGAAAAUAUAAUACAUUGCAAUGUUUCUGAUGAUUUGUUUUGGUAUUACCAUUCUCAGUGUUCAGUCCUUGCAUUGGAUGACUCGGCAUUAGAUGUGGAUCAGGUUGACAACCUAAUCAAGUUUUGUCCAACAAAGGAAGAAAUGGAAUUACUAAAGGUGCUUCUUUCCU
rnacentral:lncRNA from 1 species